rnacentral:tRNA from 1 species
GGCCUCGUAGCUCAAUUGGAUAGAGCAGCGGUCUUCUAAACCGCAGGUUGCGUGUUCAAUUCACGCCGAGGUCACCA